AGUAAUUGGGAAACGUUUUUUCGCUAAAGGAUGAGACUAUAUGGUAUCAGGUAGUUGGUAGGGGUAAGAGCCUACCAAGCCAAUGACGCCUAGCUGGUCUGAGAGGAUGAUCAGCCACACUGGAACUGAGACACGGUCCAG
rnacentral:rRNA from 1 species